rnacentral:miRNA from 1 species
AGAGAUGAUCAGGUGGGGAGU